CGGAACAAAUGUUUUAUUACUGAAGCCACUAUCAAGAUAUUUUGUGUGUUUGGGAAUUUUUCCACCAUACGAUUUUAGAAGAAAUAGACUAAAAUGUGGUUCAACGUUAGUAAUAUUGGUAAUGUGUGACAAAAUAAGAACCGAAGCAAAAAAACUAAUGACAACCGCUUACUAUAUUGAAGACUGUUUAUCCAUUUAUUCAAAACCAUAUACAGAACUUCAAGCUUUUAUGAAGAAAGUAUCGUCGACUAAAUUUGAGUUUACUGCAGCUGGAUUUUUCACGAUACACCGACAUGUAAUGUUUUCUAUUUUAGGAAAUGUUGCCACAUAUUUUAUUUUAUUAGAACAAUUCUGGACAACCAAAUAAUUUUUUGACUUUGAAAUGCCUCUAAUU
rnacentral:misc_RNA from 1 species